rnacentral:lncRNA from 1 species
UUACUGAUACUAGGCUUUCCCUUUGCUCUUUUUCAAAGGCACAUGAAGACCCCAUGUAUGAUGUAAUAAGGGAAAAUAAACGCCACGAAAAGGAAAUGAGGAUACAGCAAUUGAAGCAACUGCUGGAAGACUCUUCUUCAGAUGAAGAUGGAAGUAGUGGCAGCUCCAGUUCCUCAGAAUGUAAAGAGAAACACAAGAAGAAGAAAAAGAAGGAAAAAAAGAAAAAAAAGAAAAAAAAGAAAAGAAAGCACAAAUCUUCUAAAUCAAAUGAGAGGUCAGAAUCUGACUGACGGCAGUCACCUGCUAAAUGCUUCUUGAACCCAGAUUGUGAACUGUAAGGAGACAUCCAAAGAAUGAGGAACAACCAACCAAAAAGGGCUUUGUAAUAGUCUAGAACAUACAAAUGGGUACAUCUAAUGUCCUAUUUGUGCCAUCUUUUUCUGCCUCUCUGCAGGGGUGAGCUCAGCUAUGGCUGUUUAACAAGGAAUGAUUUUACUUGAGCAUACCUAGGUACUGUGAAACAUGGGCUAAUGAUCAUUUAACUCAAUGGUUGAUAAAACCUCACUGUUAUGCUGCCACCUGUUAAAACAGCCACCACUAAGGGACUGCUUACAGAUUUCAGCAAAGGACCAUGGAGCUCUCUAGUGAGGUAAUGUUUACCCCAUAAAAUAAUUUAAUUACACACACAGCUUCACGGUAACAGGAAUUGCAGUUUGUACUGUGCGAAGCAUUGAACCAUGUGAGGACUUCCCAUGUACAGCAAACAACAACGAAUGUUGCUAGGUCCAAGCUAAGUGUAAUCAGGCUGUAUUGUAUCUUCCCCACAUACUGAUGGUCACUCUGAUCAUCCCAUGAUCAGAAUGAUCACCACUUUAAAAUGUGUGACAUAAGAAAAAACCUAUUAAUGUUAAUGAAGAGGCUUUACUUUAAGGCAAAAAUGUAUUGUUAGCAAGGUUUUAUUUUUAUUUACUGGAAGAAAAGCUCAGUUCUGAAAUGUCAACACUAUUUCUGAGCCCCACUCUACAACAUUGACCAGCACCUACUCAUUGAAGUAAUCCUCUGAACUGCAAAAUUGGGCUCCAUGUGUGAAAAUCUCUUGCUAAAUAAUAAUAAAACUCCCCCCACUAAUUUUACUGACA